ACCAUCUUUUAAUCGAGAUUUUGCCUUCGGGUACAAUUGAGACAGGUGGUGCAUGGUUGUCGUCAGCUCGUGUCGUGAGAUGUUGGGUUAAGUCCCGCAACGAGCGCAACCCUUGUGUUUAGUUGCAAACAGGUCAAGCUGUGCACUCUAGACAGACUGCCGUGGACAACACGGAGGGAGGUGGGGAUGACGUCAAAUCAUCAUGCCCCUUAUGAUCUGGGCUACACACGUACUACAAUGGCCGGUACAACGGGCAGCGAAGGAGCGAUCCGGAGCGAAUCCUAAAAAGCCGGUCCCAGUUCGGAUUGCAGGCUGAAACUCGCCUACAUGAAGUUGGAGUUGCUAGUAAUCGCGAAUCAGAAUGUCGCGGUGAAUGCGUUCCCGGGUCUU
rnacentral:rRNA from 1 species